rnacentral:rRNA from 1 species
GACGAACGCUGGCGGCGUGCCUAACACAUGCAAGUCAACUUGACUGAAGGAGCAAUCUGACAGGUAGAAGUUGGCGCAAGGGUGCGUAACGCGUAAGUAACUUGCCCAAGGUAAGGAAUAACGUCGAGAAAUCGGCGCUAAAUACCUCAUAAUGCAGCGGAAUCCGCAUGGAUAAUGUUGUUAAAGGUUUAUCGCCUUGGGAUAGGCUUGCGUCUGAUUAGCUAGUUGGUGUGGUAACGGCACAUCAAGGCUACGAUCAGUAACUGGUCUGAGAGGAUGAUCAGUCACACUGGAACUGAGACACGGCCCAGGACUCCUACGGGAGGCAGCAGUGAGGAAUAUUGGGCAAUGCUCGAAAGAGUGACCCAGCAAACGCCGCGU